AUGUGAUGAUUUUAGAUGACGAGUCCUAUUCGGGUUUCCGAUGAGGACAACAACCUAACCUACCAUUCAUGCAUUCCCUGAUU
rfam:Trichoderma virens Gv29-8 TRIVIscaffold_5, whole genome shotgun sequence.